rnacentral:tRNA from 1 species
GGGCCUUUAGCUCAGCCGGUUAGAGCAGCGGACUCAUAAUCCGCGGGUCGUAGGUUCAAGUCCUACAAGGCCCACCA